GGGUGCUUGAGACUUUCUGUCUUGAGCAUUAUGUUCCAGGUAGAAAGAAAAAAGCCCCACCAACACAGAUAACGAUAAUAGCGAUAAAUACCGCUUUUUGCUGUUUCAUGGUUAGCGUCUCCUUGCCUUUCGGCGUGUAAGAGGCUAAUCUUAUG
rnacentral:antisense_RNA from 1 species